CCUACGGGAGGCAGCAGUAGGGAAUAUUGCACAAUGGGGGAAACCCUGAUGCAGCGACGCCGCGUGAGUGAAGAAGUAUUUCGGUAUGUAAAGCUCUAUCAGCAGGGAAGAAAAAAGGCUGUACCUGACUAUGAAGCCUCGGCGAACUCUGUGCCAGCAGCCGCGGCAAUACGUAGGGGGCAAGCGUUAUUCGGAUUUAGUGGGGGUAAAGGGAGCGUAGGCGGUGUGGCAAGUCUGAAGUGAAAGCCCAGGGUUUAACCCGGGGACUGCCUUGGAGACUGUCAGACUAGAGUGCUGGAGAGGGAAGUGGAAUUCCAAGUGUAGCGGUGAAAUGCGUAGAUAUUAGGAGGAACACCAGUGGCGAAGGCGGCUUACUGGACAGUAACUGACGUUGAGGCUCGAAAGCGUGGGGAGCAAACAGGAUUAGAUACCCGGGUAGUC
rnacentral:rRNA from 1 species